rnacentral:sRNA from 1 species
UGAAACAUUCUUUAUUGGUGCUCCGCUUG